UACAGAGGGUGCAAGCGUUGUUCGGAAUUAUUGGGCGUAAAGCGCGUGUAGGCGGCUUUGCAAGUCGGGUGUGAAAGCCCUCAGCUCAACUGAGGAAGUGCGCCCGAAACUGCAGAGCUUGAGUGCCGGAGAGGGAGGCGGAAUUCCCCAAGUAGAGGUGAAAUUCGUAGAUAUCGGGAGGAACACCGGUGGCGAAGGCGGCGACCUGGGUAGAUACUGACGCUGAGGUGCGAAAGCGUGGGGAGCAAACGGG
rnacentral:rRNA from 1 species